rnacentral:rRNA from 1 species
AAUGCCUAGGAAUCUGCCUGGUAGUGGGGGAUAACGUUCGGAAACGGACGCUAAUACCGCAUACGCCCUACGGGAGAAAGCAGGGGACCUUCGGGCCUUGCGCUAUCAGAUGAGCCUAGGUCGGAUUAGCUAGUUGGUGAGGUAAUGGCUCACCAAGGCGACGAUCCGUAACUGGUCUGAGAGGAUGAUCAGUCACACUGGAACUGAGACACGGUCCAGACUCCUACGGGAGGCAGCAGUGGGGAAUAUUGGACAAUGGGCGAAAGCCUGAUCCAGCCAUGCCGCGUGUGUGAAGAAGGUCUUCGGAUUGUAAAGCACUUUAAGUUGGGAGGAAGGGUUGUAGAUUAAUACUCUGCAAUUUUGACGUUACCGACAGAAUAAGCACCGGCUAACUCUGUGCCAGCAGCCGCGGUAAUACAGAGGGUGCAAGCGUUAAUCGGAAUUACUGGGCGUAAAGCGCGCGUAGGUGGUUUGUUAAGUUGGAUGUGAAAUCCCCGGGCUCAACCUGGGAACUGCAUUCAAAACUGACUGACUAGAGUAUGGUAGAGGGUGGUGGAAUUUCCUGUGUAGCGGUGAAAUGCGUAGAUAUAGGAAGG